ACAAAUCUAGACAUGAUUUUCCCAAGUGCCUGGUAUCAGCAAAGUGUUAUUUUUUAUGUUUAUGUAAAGUACACGUUUCUGGUACUAAGUACUUCGAGAAAGUUACCUGCGUAGGAUAU
rnacentral:precursor_RNA from 15 species